UGUGGAAGUAUUUGUGGUAGUCAGAAUUCUCCCCUAAAGUUAAGAAUUUCAAAUAGAGAUUGCUGAAUAAUAUCCCCCAGGUAAAAUCUAAGCUGUAGGAGAAAGGGAUUGGAAUUGUGAACGUGCACCCUGUAUGUGACAAGGAGGAAACCACCGAGCAUUUCUUCUUUGAUUGUGAAAAAAGCUAGGGCUUACUGGCAAAAAUUGGGUAUACACUUCCUGGCAAGACAGACCAAUGAAGUAAUCAGAUGGAUGGAACAUCAAGCUAAAACGAUCGCAAAGCAGGAGUUAAGGGAGAUACUUUACUGCUUAUGGCGCCUCUGACUUGAGCGGAAUAAAUUUUUGUGGACUUGAUGACAUUUGGUAAUUAGACCUCCAUCUUUCUAGCAAG
rnacentral:lncRNA from 1 species